rnacentral:lncRNA from 10 species
CGGGGCCUUAGCGGACGGAGGGGAGCGCGGGGGUCACCGGGCCGGGCCGGCAGCCCUAGAGCUCGGCCUGGCGGGGACCCUGGGCCAGCCCCGCGCCUCCGUGGCCCGGGCGUCUCGUGCGUGUCCGCGAACUCGCGUGCGCGCGUCACCUCGGACCGCAGCAUGGCUCGGAGGGCGGCCCUACUCGCGCCGCCCUAGUGCUGCGAAGGGCCUCGGAGCCCAAACCCGGAACCGCCAUCUGGGACUGGGAAGACGACAUGGCCAGAAGCCGACUGGACAGCCGGCACCACCCCAUGAUUCAAGGAUGGCCAUAGCCCAGUGCAGGAGCAGAUUUGCUUCCAGUUUGCCCUUCCUCCUAGCUGAACUCCAGGCUCCAGCCCAGAGAAGCAAGAAAAGAGCAAACAGAAGUUAUUCACAUGUGC